GGACACAUGGUAUAAUGGUUAUCACGCACACUUUGUCUGCGACUUAGCGGGCGGUCCCCGGUUCAAUUCCCGGGUGUGUCUU